rnacentral:rRNA from 1 species
GACGAACGCUGGCGGCGUGCUUAACACAUGCAAGUCGAACGCUGAAGCUCAGCUUUUGUUGGGUGGAUGAGUGGCGAACGGGUGAGUAACACGUGAGUAACCUGCCUCCUUCUUUGGGAUAACGCCCGGAAACGGGUGCUAAUACUGGAUAUUCACUGGUCUUCGCAUGGGGGUUGGUGGAAAGGGUUUUUCUGGUGGGGGAUGGGCUCGCGGCCUAUCAGCUUGUUGGUGGGGUGAUGGCGUACCAAGGCUUUGCCGGGUAGCCGGCCUGAGAGGGUGACCGGUCACAUUGGGGCUGAGAUACGGCCCAGACUCCUCCGGGAGGCAGCAGUGGGGAAUAUUGCACAAUGGGCGCAAGCCUGAUGCAGCGACGCCGCGCGAGGGAUGGAGGCCUUCGGGUUGUGAACCUCUUUCGCUCAUGGUCAAGCCGCAACAAUGGUUGUGGUGAGGGUAGUGGGUAAAGAAGCGCCGGCUAACUACGUG